rnacentral:rRNA from 1 species
CCUACGGGCGGCAGCAGUGAGGAAUAUUGGUCAAUGGCCGGAAGGCUGAACCAGCCAUGCCGCGUGAAGGUCAGUGCCCUAUGGGCGUUAAACUUCUUUUGUGCGGGAGCAAUAAUGGUCACGUGUGGCCAGACGAGAGUACCGUACGAAUAAGCAUCGGCUAACUCCGUGCCAGCAGCCGCGGUAAUACGGGGGAUGCAAGCGUUAUCCGGAUUUAUUGGGUUUAAAGGGUGCGUAGGCUGGGAGGUAAGUCAGCGGUGAAAUGCCCCCGCUCAACGGGGUGAAGUGCCAUUGAUACUGCCUUGCUGGAAUGCGGAUGCCGUGGGAGGAAUGUGUGGUGUAGCGGUGAAAUGCAUAGAUAUCACACAGAACACCGAUUGCGAAGGCAGCUCACGAAGCCGCGAUUGACGCUGAUGCACGAAAGCGUGGGUAUCAAACAGGAUUAGAUACCCUAGUAGUC